GAUUAAUAGGGAUAGUUGGGGGCAUUAAUAUUUAAUUGUCAGAGGUGAAAUUCUUGGAUUUAUGAAAGAUUAACUUCUGCGAAAGCAUCUGCCAAGGAUGUUUUCAUUAAUCAAGAACGAAAGUUAGGGGAUCGAAGACGAUCAGAUACCGUCGUAGUCUUAACCAUAAACGAUGCCGACCAGCGAUUAGGAGACGUUGAAUACAAAACACCACCAUCGGUGCGGUCGUCCUUGGCGUCGGUCUUUCGGGGCCGGCGCGGGGACGGCUUAGCCCGGUGGCACCGGUGAAUGACUCCCUAGCAGCUUGUGAGA
rnacentral:rRNA from 1 species